GAGUUUGAUUCUGGCUCAGAUUGAACGCUGGCGGCAUGCUUUACACAUGCAAGUCGAACGGCAGCACAGGGAGCUUGCUCCUGGGUGGCGAGUGGCGAACGGGUGAGUAAUGUAUCGGAACGUGCCUGGUAGUGGGGGAUAACCACUCGAAAGAGUGGCUAAUACCGCAUGAGACCUCUGGAUGAAAGCGGGGGACCUUUGGGCCUCGCGCUAUCGGAGCGGCCGAUAUCAGAUUAGGUUGUUGGUGGGGUAAAGGCCUACCAAGCCUGCGAUCUGUAGCUGGUCUGAGAGGACGACCAGCCACACUGGGACUGAGACACGGCCCAGACUCCUACGGGAGGCAGCAGUGGGGAAUUUUGGACAAUGGGCGCAAGCCUGAUCCAGCAAUGCCGCGUGCAGGACGAAGGCCCUCGGGUUGUAAACUGCUUUUGUACAGAACGAAAAGUCUCUGGCUAAUAUCUGGGGAACAUGACGGUA
rnacentral:rRNA from 1 species